UUGAUUGGUCUCGCCGGCUUGUGGCCGAUCUUGCCGGAGAAGCAAAGAGUAGUGCUGAAGCAGGCUAGAUCGACCAGAAAGCCAGACUGCGACUCGCACUCUACUACGCUUGCCGGAAGAGGAAGAGAGAGACCCGAGAUGGAGUGAGCGGCGAAGGAACGGCGACAAGAAGCUUUAGUCGGCGCGACUUGAGCUUAAGUCACCGGAAACGCCAAAAGAAAGGAGAAAGAGGACUGGCUCGAUCGAGAAGCCCCUCUGUCUCUCUCAUUAGCAUCGCUUGAACAAGAACGAAGGCAAAAGCGCUGACCAGAGGUGCUGCCGGCGAUG
rnacentral:lncRNA from 1 species